rnacentral:rRNA from 1 species
UCAGAUUAGCUAGUUGGUGGGGUAAAGGCCUACCAAGGCGACGAUCUGUAUCGGGUCUGAGAGGAUGAUCCGCCACACUGGAACUGAGACACGGUCCAGACUCCUACGGGAGGCAGCAGUGGGGAAUUUUGGACAAUGGGGGCAACCCUGAUCCAGCCAUGCCGCGUGAGUGAAGAAGGCCUUCGGGUUGUAAAGCUCUUUCGGCCGGGAAGAAAUCGCAUAGGCUAAUACCCUGUGUGGAUGACGGUACCGGAAUAAAAAGCACCGGCUAACUACGUGCCAGCAGCCGCGGUAAUACGUAGGGUGCGAGCGUUUAAUCGUAAAUUACUGGUCGUAAAAGCGUGCGCAGGCGGUUUCGUAAGAUAGAGGUGAAAAUCCCCGGGCUCAACCUGGGA